AUUGAACGCUGGCGGCAUGCCUUACACAUGCAAGUCGAACGGUAACAGGUCUUCGGAUGCUGACGAGUGGCGAACGGGUGAGUAAUACAUCGGAACGUGCCCGAGAGUGGGGGAUAACGAGGUGAAAGCUUUGCUAAUACCGCAUACGAUCUCAGGAUGAAAGCAGGGGACCGCAAGGCCUUGCGCUCACGAAGCGGCCGAUGGCAGAUUAGGUAGUUGGUGGGAUAAAAGCUUACCAAGCCGACGAUCUGUAGCUGGUCUGAGAGGACGACCGGCCACAGUGGGACGGAGAGAUGGCCCAGACUCCUACGGGAGGCAGCAGUGGGGAAUUUUGGACAAUGGGCGCAAGCCGGAUCCAGCCAUGCCGCGUGCAGGAGGAAGGCCUUCGGGUUGUAAACUGCUUUUGUACGGAACGAGAAGACUCCUUCUAAUAAAGGGGGUCCAUGACGGUACCGUAAGAAUAAGCACCGGCUAACUACGUGCCAGCAGCCGCGGUAAUAC
rnacentral:rRNA from 1 species